rnacentral:rRNA from 1 species
GCACCGAAUCUCUAGCGCCCUGCGUGCUAGCGAAAUGUGGUGUUUAGGAGGGUCCGUAUUCCGGGGCUCGCCUUGCCGAGUCCAAGUCCUUCUUGAACGGGGCCAUGGUCCGCAGAGGGUGCCAGACCCGUAGCGGCCGGUGGCGUCCCCGGAUGGGCCUCUCCUUAGAGUCGGGUUGCUUGAGAGUGCAGCCUAAAGUGGGUGGUAAACUCCAUCUAAGACUAAAUAUAACCACGAGACCGAUAGCGAACAAGUACCGUGAGGGAAAGUUGAAAAGAACUUUGAAGAGAGAGUUCAAUAGUACGUGAAACCGUUCAGGGGUAAACGGGGAAGACUUGAAAAUCCGAAACGAGAGAUUCACGUCUUCCGCAGGGCACGUCAAGCCUGUCCGCGGAUGGCUUGCUCCCUCGCUCUGGCUUCGGCCCGGGCGUUGGUGGGCCGGUCGACCGGGCAAGUGCGACGAGCUCGCGGAGGGCCGCACUUCUCUCACAGUAGGACGUCGCGACCCGUCCGGAGGCAUGCCUGAUGCCUGGCACGAAGUCCCGAGACCGUGGCGGCCUCACGGCCGUCGCCCUCGGGGCGGCCAAGGCAGGGUGGCGUUACGGACGGUAGUUUAAGACGGUGUCGGACCGCUCUCCGGAGCGCUUCUGGCCAUUUCCGAGUCGGACGUAGAGUGUGGUCGCGGGCCCUUCAGGGCCCGCACCGCUUUCGCCUGGCUGUCGGGGAGUGGUUCUGAGGCAGAGUCUACAGCACCCGUCGGCGACGCCGCAGUUUCGAGCUCUUACCCGGCCCGUCUUGAAACACGGACCAAGGAGUCCAACGUGUGCGCGAGUCGCUGGGUGAAAAACCCAAUGGCGUAAUUAAGGUGAAGGGAAGUUCUCUUUCCUAGGGAGGAUCGGGGUUCGCCUUCAACGGGCGACUCCCCGCACUCCCGGGGCGUCUCUUGCUCAUUGCGAGUCGAGGCGCACCUAGAGCGUUCACGUUGGGACCCGAAAGAUGGUGAACUAUGCCUGGCCAGGACGAAGCCAGGGGAAACCCUGGUGGAGGUCCGUAGCGGUUCUGACGUGCAAAUCGAUCGUCGGAGCUGGGUAUAGGGGCGAAAGACUAAUCGAACCAUACUAGUAGCUGGUUCCCUCCGAAGUUUCCCUCAGGAUAGCUGGCGCCCAUGUGAGACGAGUCUCAUCUGGUAAAGCGAAUGAUUAGAGGCCUUGGGGUCGAAACGACCUCAACCUAUUCUCAAACUUUAAAUGGAUGAGAACCCCGGCUUGCUUGGCUUAGUGAAGCCGGGGCUCGGAUCCGGGUGCCAAGUGGGCCAUUUUUGGUAAGCAGAACUGGCGCUGUGGGAUGAACCAAACGCGGAGUUAAGGCGCCAAAAUCGACGCUCAUCAGACACCAUGAAAGGCGUUGGUUGCUUAAGACAGCAGGACGGUGGCCAUGGAAGUCGGAAUCCGCUAAGGAGUGUGUAACAACUCACCUGCCGAAGCAACUAGCCCUGAAAAUGGAUGGCGCUGUAGCGUCGUGCCUAUACUCCGCCGCCAACGGCAAACUCGGCGCGGUCUCCCAGUGGGACCGGUCGCUGUUACGCCUUGGUGAGUAGGAGGGCCGCGGCGAUGUGCGUAGAAGGGUCUAGGCGUGAGCCUGCCUGGAGCCGUCGCCGGCGCAGAUCUUGGUGGUAGUAGCAAAUACUCCAGCGAGGCCCUGGAGGACUGAUGUGGAGAAGGGUUUCUUGUGAACAGCCGUUGCACAAGAGUCAGUCGGUCCUAAGCCCUAGGAGAAAUCCGAUGCCGAUGGGCGCCGUUACCAAUGCCAACCCCCGAGGUUCCACACUGUCGUGUCUUGCCCCUUCCGCUUUGGUCUACGUCUCGCAAGAGCGUAUCAUGCCUGGCGGUGGGGUGAGUUCGGCUCGUGGCUUAGUCACGACUAAGGUUCCACACUGUCGUGUCUUGCCCCUUCCGCUUUGGUCUACGUCUCGCAAGAGCGUAUCAUGCCUGGCGGUGGGGUGAGUUCGGCUCGUGGCUUAGUCACGACUAAGUCUCGGGGAUUCGUUGACAGGUGAUGCUGGCGCCCUAGGUUGGGCGAAAGGGAAUCCGGUUCCUAUUCCGGAACCUGGCCGCGGAACCGUUUCCAGUCGUGCCCUCUGACGAGAGCUCGUCGGGGUAACCAAAAAAGACCCGGAGACGCCGUCGGGAGAUCCAGGGAGAGUUGUCUCUUCUCUAUAAGCGUUCGAGUUCCCUGGAAACCUCUAGCAGGGAGAUAGGGUUUGGAGCGCAAAGAGCACCGCAGUUACGGCGGUGUCUGGAUCUUCCCCUCGGACCUUGAAAAUCCGGGUGAGGGCUACGAGGAACACCGCGCCAGACCGUACCCAUAUCCGCAGCAGUCUCCAAGGUCAACAGCCUCUAGUCGUUAGAAUAAUGUAGGUAAAGGAAGUCGGCAAACUGGAUCCGUAACCUUGGGAUAAGGAUUGGCUCUGAGGAUCGUGGUGAGCCGGGCUUGGUUGGGA